GUCACAAAGCAAAAAGCAACUAACUUUCCAGAACUUUCGAGCUUCUUCACGGGCGCAUGGUGUAUGGCCUAUGUCUCAGUUGCAGGCCAGCAAGCACCUGCCUGGCGCCGCUAUGCCUGCCUCAACCGAAAAAAGCCACCCAAAAGUGGGCAGCGUCGGCCGCCGACAAACACCAUGCGAUGCAUGUAAUAUGUUUUGUCCACGUGUCUAUAUAUUGCUGCCUGCGGACACGCCUAUUGCGUGGGAUGUCCUGUCGUUCAACAGGAAGAACACGGUCAACUCCGUGUUAUGUGCAACGAGUGCAAACGGAGAAUGAUUGCAGACCUCAUUGAGAUGAAGGACCAAUUGGUCGUGCGCAAUCUACCUUUUGCAUGUGCCCCGGUCGGGUCCUUGUGAUGCCUGCAACACGUUUUCUCCACGAGUGAAUCUCUGCGCAUGCGGGCAUGCCUUCUGUACUGGAUGCGCAAUUGUUCACAAAGAGGAAGAAGGUGCAGGGUUGAAGGCGUUCUGUCUCGAGUGCAAAAAAAAAGUCACUACUGAUCUCAUCGAGAUAAAGCCAAGUUUGCUUCGACAGAUGCGUUUCGUGUGUUCCUGCGGAAGGGAGGGGACGCUCGAGCAAAUAAAGGAGCAUCUGUGGGAGUCUGCAGAGUCUCACGAUGUGACUGACGUAGCCUCAAAAGGAUCAAUAGAUGGUCCGUUUGGAGCGGAGAGCUUACUUCACAGUCUACGCGAUGAGGUGGUAAGUCUGAAAUUGCAACUACGCACUCUGGUUGGCGUAGCAACCAAGAAAUACUUCUGGGUCGAUUUGCAGAAGAUCAUAGACGAACACGAGAAGUAAAGACAGAAGACCAUCACGAGUAACGUUGAGCCCUGGGAGGUGUGCGGAUACGCCUGCGGAUUCUUCUGUCAAAUCAGCGAACAUGACAAUGAGUGUUAUGUCGACGUGUUCGUCAGGACCAUGUCUAAUAACACUUCGCUCUCACCGUGGCCGAUGAAGAAGAGGUGCAUUUUUGCACUAUAUGAUAUCAGCGGCCGCGAAGUGAAAACUCAUCUGUCACUCUUCUUCCAGAACGGCAACCCGAUGAACUCAUGCUUUAUUGGCCCGGCGUAUGAAGUUGUUGCUGGUUUCGGUCCGACUAAGUUUGUUCGAGUGGCCGAUAUUCGCGACAGGUCGGAUGAAUUACUCUUUGAAGGACGAGCCUGCUUUUCGGCAGAACUUCCAAGAACCGUAAGAAUAUUGCUACAUGGAAACUAAAACGAUUAUCGGUGUGUUUUGGUGUAUCAGGUGCAGGCAAAUGAUAAUCAAAUAAAAUUUGCGUUUCGCCAACAUCGUUGAAAAUUUGAGAAUACUAUCAAGUAAUGUGAA
rnacentral:lncRNA from 1 species